AGAGUUUGAUCCUGGCUCGGGACGAACGCUGGCGGCGCGCCUAACACAUGCAAGUCGAACGAGCGAGAGAGAGCUUGCUUUCUCGAGCGAGUGGCGAACGGGUGAGUAACGCGUGAGGAACCUGCCUCAAAGAGGGGGACAACAGUUGGAAACGACUGCUAAUACCGCAUAAGCCCACGACCCGGCAUCGGGUAGAGGGAAAAGGAGCAAUCCGCUUUGAGAUGGCCUCGCGUCCGAUUAGCUAGUUGGUGAGGUAACGGCCCACCAAGGCGACGAUCGGUAGCCGGACUGAGAGGUUGAACGGCCACAUUGGGACUGAGACACGGUCCAGACUCCUACGGGAGGCAGCAGUGGGGAAUAUUGCACAAUGGGGGAAACCCUGAUGCAGCGACGCCGCGUGGAGGAAGAAGGUCUUCGGAUUGUAAACUCCUGUUGUUGAGGAAGAUAAUGACGGUACUCAACAAGGAAGUGACGGCUAACUACGUGCCAGCAGCCGCGGUAAAACGUAGGUCACAAGCGUUGUCCGGAAUUACUGGGUGUAAAGGGAGCGCAGGCGGGAAGACAAGUUGGAAGUGAAAUCCAUGGGCUCAACCCAUGAACUGCUUUCAAAACUGUUUUUCUUGAGUAGUGCAGAGGUAGGCGGAAUUCCCGGUGUAGCGGUGGAAUGCGUAGAUAUCGGGAGGAACACCAGUGGCGAAGGCGGCCUACUGGGCACCAACUGACGCUGAGGCUCGAAAGUGUGGGUAGCAAACAGGAUUAGAUACCCUGGUAGUCCCGGCCGUAAACGAUGGGCGCUAGGUGUGGGGGACUACAUCCUCCGUGCCGCAGCCAACGCAUUAAGCGCCCCGCUUGGGGAGUACGGCCGCAAGGCUAAAACUCAAAGGAAUUGACGGGGGCCCGCACAAGCAGCGGAGCAUGUGGCUUAAUUCGAAGCAACGCGAAGAACCUUACCCGGGCUUGACGUGCCGGGAAAUCCCCGGGAGACCGGGGGUGCCGAGAGGCGCCCGGCGCAGGUGGUGCAUGGCCGUCGUCAGCUCGUGCCGUGAGGUGUUGGGUUAAGUCCCGCAACGAGCGCAACCCCCGCCCCGCGUUGCCAGCGGUUCGGCCGGGCACCCGCGGGGGACCGCCGGGGUCGACCCGGAGGAGGGUGGGGACGACGUCAGGUCAUCAUGCCCCUCACGCCCGGGGCCGCACACGUGCUACAAUGGCCGGCACAGAGGGUUGCCACCCCGCGAGGGGGAGCGGAUCCCGAAAGCCGGCCCCAGUUCGGACCGGGGGCUGCAACCCGCCCCCGCGAAGCCGGAGUUGCUAGUAAUCGCGGAUCAGCACGCCGCGGUGAAUGCGUUCCCGGGCCUUGCACACACCGCCCGUCA
rnacentral:rRNA from 1 species